rnacentral:misc_RNA from 1 species
GAUGAAGAACGCGCGAAAUGCGAUACGUAAUGUGAAUUGCAGAAUUCAGUGAAUCAUCGAAUCUUUGAACGCAUAUUGCGCUCUCUGGUAUUCCGGAGAGCAUGCUUGUUUGAGUAUCAGUAAACACCUCAACUUCCAUAUCUUUUUUGAAAUGGGAGUUGGACUUGAGUGAUCCCAACGCUUUUCCUCACCGAAAAGUGGCGGGUUACUUGAAAUGCAGGUGCAGCUGGACUUUUCUCUGAGCUAUAAGCAUAUCUAUUUAGUCUGCCUAAAAAACAGAUUAUUACCUUUGCUGCAGCUAACAUAAAGGAGAUUAGUUCUUGUGCUGACUGAUGCAGGAUUCACAAAGACGGCUUCGGCCGACUUUGUAAACUCGAUCUCAAAUCAAGUAAGACUACCCGCUGAACUUAAGCAUAUCAAUAAGCGGAGGA